rnacentral:rRNA from 1 species
CUACGGGUGGCAGCAGUGAGGAAUAUUGCACAAUGGGGGGAACCCUGAUGCAGCAACGCCGCGUGGAGGAUGACGCAUUUCGGUGUGUAAACUCCUUUUAUAUGUCAAGAAAAUGACGGUAGCAUAUGAAUAAGCGCCGGCUAACUCCGUGCCAGCAGCCGCGGUAGUACGGAGGGUGCAAGCGUUACUCGGAAUCACUGGGCGUAAAGGACGCGUAGGCGGGUUGGAAAGUCAGGUGUGAAAUCCUACAGCUUAACUGUAGAACUGCACUUGAAACUUCUAAUCUAGAGUAUGGGAGGGGGAGAUGGAAUUAGUGGUGUAGGGGUAAAAUCCGUAGAUAUCACUAGGAAUACCUAAAGCGAAGGCGAUCUCCUGGAACAUUACUGACGCUAAGGCGUGAAAGCGUGGGGAGCAAACAGGAUUAGAUACCCUAGUAGUC